AAUUACACAGGUAGUCACCAACAUUAUGUAAUUUGAAUGGUAACAGCCUGCAAAGAAAUGUGUUUGCCAUUACAUCAAUUUGUUUUUUUUUUAGGCUCUUUUCUAUCUUAAUUUGAAAGAAUCGUCAUUUCCGCCCAUGCGUCACAAUGUCGGACUUGAUUAAGCCUCCUCCAGCAUAAAGUAAGCUAGCAAAAUGAGGAAACAAGAACAGGAUUCCGACUGAUUCUGCAUUAAGGCUCUGGCAGGUUCCAGUGCAUCAGACAAUAAAGUUAAGAACCAAUUGAUAUGCAAUCGCUUGCUCCACUGAGGAAAGACUGGACAUUUUUAGGGAAAGGAAAGAACGAUGUGUGGAGGGAACAAUGCAGCAAAACCAAGGAGCAGGAGGACUCUUGCAACUGUGACACAAUUCGAUAUGGAUACGGCCACGGCUGCACUACUUUGACUGUGUCGCCUUCACGCUGCUGCCGCUCACAUGUGGGCCGGUUAUUGAUGGAGCCAUCAUAUCCAUUCUGAACAUCUGUAAUAAAAUUCUACUCUUAUUGAAUUUAGCGAUGGGUUCAUUCUCUCUCACACAGCUGCAGUCUGGCCCUUAUUGCAGAGUCACUACAGACGUCCUG